rnacentral:rRNA from 1 species
UUGACCUCAAAUCAGGUAGGACUACCCGCUGAACUUAAGCAUAUCAAUAAGCGGAGGAAAAGAAACUAACAAGGAUUCCCCUAGUAACUGCGAGUGAAGCGGGAAAAGCUCAAAUUUUGAAUCUGGUGGUCUUUCCAGACCRUCCGAGUUGUAAUCUAGAGAAGCGUCUUCCGCGCCGGCCCGUGUACAAGUCUCCUGGAAGGGAGCGUCUUAGAGGGUGAGAAUCCCGUCUCUGACACGGACCACCGGGGCUAUGUGAUGCGCUCUCGACGAGUCGAGUUGUUUGGGAAUGCAGCUCAAAAAGGGUGGUAAACUCCAUCU